rnacentral:rRNA from 1 species
AUUGAACGCUGGCGGCAUGCCUUACACAUGCAAGUCGAACGGCAGCACGGGUGCUUGCACCUGGUGGCGAGUGGCGAACGGGUGAGUAAUACAUCGGAACAUGUCCUGUAGUGGGGGAUAGCCAGGCGAAAGCCGGAUUAAUACCGCAUACGAUCUACGGAUGACAGCGGGGGACCUUCGGGCCUCGCGCUAUAGGGUUGGCCGAUGGCUGAUUAGCUAGUUGGUGGGGUAAAGGCCUACCAAGGCGACGAUCAGUAGCUGGUCUGAGAGGACGACCAGCCACACUGGGACUGAGACACGGCCCAGACUCCUACGGGAGGCAGCAGUGGGGAAUUUUGGACAAUGGGCGAAAGCCUGAUCCAGCAAUGCCGCGUGUGUGAAGAAGGCCUUCGGGUUGUAAAGCACUUUUGUCCGGAAAGAAAUCCUUGGCCCUAAUACGGUCGGGGGAUGACGGUACCGGAAGAAUAAGCACCGGCUAACUACGUG